rnacentral:rRNA from 1 species
CCUACGGGAGACAGCAGUCGAGAAUCAUUCACAAUGGGGGAAACCCUGAUGGUGCGACGCCGCGUGGGGGAAUGAAGGUCUUCGGAUUGUAAACCCCUGUCAUGUGGGAGCAAAUUAAAAAGAUAGUACCACAAGAGGAAGAGACGGCUAACUCUGUGCCAGCAGCCGCGGUAAUACAGAGGUCUCAAGCGUUGUUCGGAAUCACUGGGCGUAAGGCGUGCGUAGGCUGUUUCGUAAGUCAUGUGUGAAAGGCGCGGGCUCAACCCGCGGACGGCACAUGAUACUGCGAGACUAGAGUAAUGGAGGGGGAACCGGAAUUCUCGGUGGAGCAGUGAAAUGCGUAGAUAUCGAGAGGAACACUCGUGGCGAAGGCGGGUUCCUGGACAUUAACUGACGCUGAGGCACGAAGGCCAGGGGAGCGAAAGGGAUUAGAUACCCCUGUAGUC